rnacentral:rRNA from 1 species
AGUGAACGCUGGCGGUAGGCCUAACACAUGCAAGUCGAACGGCAGCACAGUAAGAGCUUGCUCUUACGGGUGGCGAGUGGCGGACGGGUGAGGAAUACAUCGGAAUCUACUUUUUCGUGGGGGAUAACGUAGGGAAACUUACGCUAAUACCGCAUACGACCUACGGGUGAAAGCAGGGGAUCUUCGGACCUUGCGCGAUUGAAUGAGCCGAUGUCGGAUUAGCUAGUUGGCGGGGUAAAGGCCCACCAAGGCGACGAUCCGUAGCUGGUCUGAGAGGAUGAUCAGCCACACUGGAACUGGGACACGGUCCAGACCCCUACGGGAGGCAGCAGUGGGGAAUAUUGGACAAUGGGCGCAAGCCUGAUCCAGCCAUACCGCGUGGGUGAAGAGGGCCUUCGGGUUGUAAAGCCCUUUUGUUGGGAAAGAAAAGCAGCAGGUUAAUACCCCGCUGUUCUGACGGUACCCAAAGAAUAAGCACCGGCUAACUUCGUG